AUACUUGGAAAAAAAAACAAAAAUAAAAUAUAAAAAGAAAAGUGUAAUUAGGUCGGAUCUCUCUGGUAUAAAUACAUGAAAACUACCCACAGUUUUCCUUCCCCUCUUCUCUCAAAAAAUUGCAAUCUCUCUAAACAUCACAGAUUCAGACAUACAAUACUGGUGUAUAUACGUAUAAUACAGGGGGUUUAGCUGAAAAAGUGGAAAGAAUGGAAGGAAGAAAGGACACUGGUUUGUCUUCUUCUUCUUCUCCAUCUUUAACCUCUCAGCUUUUUGGUUCCAGAAAUAAUCCUCCUUCUUCUUCUUCCUCUGAGAUUUUCGAAUCUAUUUUUGCUCCUUCUUCUAAGGUUAUGGGACAAGAGACAGUGACUGGUGGCGGUGGCGGCUGGAACGACAAAUCCUCCAAGACUGGUGGUGAUGUUGACAAAAACAGAGAAGAGUUUGGAUCAUCAGUUUAUCAACAGGAAAGAGUUCAACCUUGUCAUCUGAGCUCUUCCAUCUAUUACGGUGGCCCUGAUGUUUAUUUCCAGCCUCAGAAUUCUACCGUCAACUCUGCUGCGGUAAUACAAAACUUCAUUGGUUAUUCAUGUACAAUAACUAGGUCCUGUGAACCUUUUUUGGCGAGGUUUUUAAAGGGUUUAGAACUAAAGUUACCGUGCUUGGUUAUUGUCUGUCUGAAGUAAGAUUUGAUGAGCUAUAUAAGGGUCUUCGUACUAAAUUUAUCGGUCUCUCGUUCAUUGAUUGUUGCCUCUAAAGAAUCUAGAGUUAUUGCUCUUGUUCAGAGAUUUUUUAUUUUUUUUUGGUUAGCAGAAGAAGAAAGAGGGAGGCGAAGAUGAUUCCGGAAGUGCUUCAAGAGGAAAUUGGUGGCAAGGGUCUCUGUAUUACUAAGUAGAGAUCUUACUACUUAAGCCAGUGUGUGUUACACUACAAAGGCAGCAAGGUAUAUAGGAAGAAGCAAAAAACUAGAGUAGCAGUGGAUCUCAGUUGGUAUUAGUAAAAGCUUCUCAUCUUAUUAUUACAAAAAAAGUAUGAAGAAGUUUGUAAGGUAGAUAUGCAAAGACCAGGAAAGCUUGUCUGGGCGUUUUUUUUGGUCGUGGUUUAGUGAUUAACCCGACCGCUUCAGAUUUAACUUUCCAUAGUACUGGUGUAUGGAUAAUAUGGUUUUGUAAGAAAACUCUAGUAAGUUUCAAGUUUCCAUGCAUAUAAAUAAAAUCAACUGCUGUUGGUCUGGUUA